CUUUACUAGAGAAUAAAAUUGUUUUAUCACCUUGAAAUACUAGGCCAGGACAUGAAGACUCUGGGGCUGAGACCAAUGCCACAGAGCCUUGGGUGGAAGCCUGUGAUGCUGGGAGUCUGGGGGAGAGGGGAACACAGCUGCCAUUCUGCCUACAAAUGCAGAAAAAAUAGCAAAGCAUACCACAGGUAUCUUAAAAGACAUGCAAAUGUAAAUGGGGUUGCCCAGAGACUGAAGUCACCUACUGUAUAAAGGUAGGAAAGCUCUAGACCCUAAACUUUGGAGGGGGGUAUUUCUAUGACUCCAAACCCCAAAGUGAUUGAUACCAGUGUUUUUCCAUUAGAUCUGGGCACUUCUUACUCCUUAACCUUGAUCAAAGAGUCCUUAAUGAUACGAAAGAUGAAAUAAUUGUUAAACUUGUUCUCUGCCCACCCAGAGCCUCGAACAGCGUUCUGCACACAGUAGGCACCAUAUAAAUAUUUGUUCUUUCAGAUGAAUUAAAGGUUUUGAGAGAUAGACUGGAGUUUUCUUUCUAUUGGGAAGGGGGGAAUAGAGGGGAUGUGAUGUUCUCAAUUCCUCCAGGGAACUAAUUUUCCCAAUAAGAUUUGGGGCUCCCCAAAGGAUCAGCAUUAGCUUUCCUUGAACUACUGCUUCCAGGCCAAUCCAUCCCUGGCUCCCGGGCUUACUGAGUUUGAAAGGACAGAGUGAGAUGCAAGGCUGUGGGGAUGGAACUUUGGCCAGGUGGAGGUAGGAGGAUGUAGGAGGGUAAUGGGGUUUUUUUGGUGAUGGCUACUGUCUCUAAAUCCUUUCCUCAUUACUUAUGAAUGGAAUUUUCCUACAUGGGAAAAGGCUUCUACAAUUUCCCCUUUGACUAAAGCAAAGAAUAUUUUAGGAAAGAUUACACACAUAUUUUUAUAAUUAUGAUAACAUUAAGUUUUUCUUGGACCAUAAAUUAGUCUUUUCCCUUUUUAAACUCUUUUUUCUUCCAUUUCAGAGACAAAGAGUCUACAAACAUUCUGAAAUAAAAGCAAAUUUUAAAUUAACA
rnacentral:lncRNA from 1 species